AUUGAACGCUGGCGGCAUGCUUUACACAUGCAAGUCGAACGGCAGCACGGGCUUCGGCCUGGUGGCGAGUGGCGAACGGGUGAGUGAUACAUCGGAACGUACCCAGUAGUGGGGGAUAGCCCGGCGAAAGCCGGAUUAAUACCGCAUAUGCCCUGAGGGGGAAAGCGGGGGACCGAAAGGCCUCGCGCUAUUGGAGCGGCCGAUGGCUGAUUAGCUAAUUGGUGGGGUAAAGGCCUACCAAGGCGACGAUCAGUAGCUGGUCUGAGAGGACGACCAGCCACACUGGGACUGAGACACGGCCCAGACUCCUACGGGAGGCAGCAGUGGGGAAUUUUGGACAAUGGGGGAAACCCUGAUCCAGCCAUCCCGCGUGUGCGAUGAAGGCCUUCGGGUUGUAAAGCACUUUUGGCAGGAAAGAAACGGCGCGUGCUAAUACCAUGCGCAACUGACGGUACCUGCAGAAUAAGCACCGGCUAACUACGUGCCAGCCGCCGCGGUAA
rnacentral:rRNA from 1 species